GGUCUGUAUCAAAAGACAGAAUCUUGAUGACUAAGACAUUUUCUUUGGUACUACAAGAAGAAUCCAGCUCUCUACUUCUAUCAGCUCCUGGAUGACUACAAGAAAGGGAACCUCCACAUCAUUCCAGACACUCCUCUGGCUGAGGAAAGAUCAGGAGAUGACAGUGAUGUGUUGAUAGGUUUGAAGUCUCCAGAGCAGCAAAGAGAGUGGGGAGUAGAACUCAUCAUCUUUAGGUCACUCAGCAUCGA
rnacentral:lncRNA from 1 species